GUGCCAGCAGCCGCGGUAAUACGGAGACUGCUAGCGUUACUCGGAUUCACUGGGCGUAAAGGGUGCGCAGGCGGUCGAUUGUGUCAGGUGUGAAAUCCCAGAGCUCAACUCUGGAACUGCGCCUGAAACUGAUCGACUUGAGACUCGGAGGGGUAAGCGGAAUUCCAGGUGUAGCGGUGAAAUGCGUAGAUAUCUGGAGGAACACCAAAGGCGAAGGCAGCUUACUGGACGAGAUCUGACGCUCAGGCACGAAAGCGUGGGGAGCAAAAAGGAUUAGAUACCCGGGUAGUCC
rnacentral:rRNA from 1 species